CCUACGGGUGGCAGCAGUGGGGAAUAUUGCACAAUGGGGGAAACCCUGAUGCAGCGACGCCGCGUGAGUGAAGAAGGAUUUCGGUAUGUAAAGCUCUAUCAGCAGGGAAGAAAAUGACGGUACCUGACUAAGAAGCCCCGGCUAACUACGUGCCAGCAGCCGCGGUAAUACGGAGGGGGCAAGCGUUCUCCGGAUUUACUGGGUGUAAAGGGAGCGUAGACGGCCAGACAAGUCAGAAGUGAAAGCCCAGGGCUCAACCCGGGGACUGCAUUUGAAACUGGCUGGCUAGAGUGCAGGAGAGGGAAGCGGAAUUCCUAGUGUAGCGGUGAAAUGCGUAGAUAUGAGGAGGAACACCAGUGGCGAAGGCGGCUUACUGGAAUGUAACUGACGUUGAUGCUCGAAAGCGUGGGGAGCAAACAGGAUUAGAUACCCCUGUAGUC
rnacentral:rRNA from 1 species